UAAUUUGAUGAUCCGCAAAAAACCUUACCACAACUUGAAUAUUUAUAUAUUUAUAUAUUUACAAGCGUUGCACGGCUGUCUUAAGUUAAUGUCGUGAGAAUUUGGUUCGCUCCAUUUAAUUGACGUAAACCCUUGUUUUACUUUAAUGUAAAACAGUUCACCGAUAUACUGGAUAUGAUAAUAGGGAAAAAGACAAGUCAUCAUGGCCUGAAUGUUGU
rnacentral:rRNA from 1 species